CCCCGCCCCUCUUCCCCUGCGAGAUCCUCCCUUGCUGGUUUCUCCAACCUAGAUCCCCCAAAGUUGUUUUUUUUUUCUGGUGUGAGAUUGGACAUUCGCUUUCCCUCUGUCCUGGGCGAGUCUGUAGUCCCUAGAAAGGGAGCUGGAAAGCAGUCACCAAAUUAUUCUGGAAGCCUCCUUUUUUCCUUUCAAAGUGGAACCAGCCGGGCCCACAGUGAUGGAUGGUUGGUCAUGCUAAAAACCCUCCUUCCUUGAUGAAAUCCACACCCAUCUGGCGCACAGAUGACCAGGUGAAAGAGUGAAGGGCCAGGCUGUGUGCGAAGACAGGAAUACCACAAUGCUCUGGCGUGCAUCUUGGAGAGUACGAGAGGGAUGUAGAAGAGGAGGCCUCUUCCCCAGAUGGUUUCCAGUGUAUUCUCCCCACAACCCACACCACACACACACACACACACACACACACACACACACACACACACACACAAAGACACACAAAGAAGGUUUUAAGCAAAGAGCCUUGAUUCCAGUGGAUUCCCACUCACUUUUGUAUUCCCCAGCAGGGCGCACCGUGAAUCCCCGUGGACUGAGAAUGGCCAGAAGAAAUUCUUGUUUAGUGCUCUGCAAGAUAAACUGCCUAGGAAGAGAACAUGUGUGGGAGGGAGAACAGCUCAAGCAGAGGCUGGGCUGGCAGGGUAUAUGCCGUCUCUAUGUGUGGGUGUGUAUACAUGAGCACGAUGCCCACAGAGACCAGAACAUGGUGUCAGGUCCCCUGAGGCUGACGUUACAAGGUGCUGAGCUUCCUGAUGUGGGUGCUAGGAAUUGAAUUUCAGUUUUCUGCAAAAACAGAAGGUACCCUUAGUUACCGAGCCAUCUCCCCAGCCUUGCGAAUAAAGUAAAAUGUUAGAAAUGAAA